rnacentral:rRNA from 1 species
AUUGAACGCUGGCGGCAGGCUUAACACAUGCAAGUCGAGCGGGGGAAGGUAGCUUGCUACCGGACCUAGCGGCGGACGGGUGAGUAAUGCUUAGGAAUCUGCCUAUUAGUGGGGGACAACAUCUCGAAAGGGAUGCUAAUACCGCAUACGUCCUACGGGAGAAAGCAGGGGAUCUUCGGACCUUGCGCUAAUAGAUGAGCCUAAGUCGGAGUAGCUAGUUGGUGGGGUAAAGGCCUACCAAGGCGACGAUUUGUAGUGGGUCUGAGAGGAUGAUCCGCCACACUGGGACUGAGACACGGCCCAGACUCCUACGGGAGGCAGCAGUGGGGAAUAUUGGACAAUGGGGGGAACCCUGAUCCAGCCAUGCCGCGUGUGUGAAGAAGGCCUUAUGGUUGUAAAGCACUUUAAGCGAGGAGGAGGCUACUCUAGUUAAUACCUAGGGAUAGUGGACGUUACUCGCAGAAUAAGCACAGGCUAACUCUGUGCCAGCCGCCGCCGUAA